AGCAGUUUAAAACAAACGGCAGGCUGUAUUGUUAUAUAUUUAUAUAAGCCUGGAUGUUUAUACUUUUCUGUGCAGUCGUGCCCAACCAACCAAAAUCUUGAUCAACCAACCGUGGAAAAUGUUUUGCAUGGUGUUAAACGCGUUUUACAUACGUUUAGUGAAAGAAAAUGAGUUUCAUAUCAACUCAAAGACAAUAUAUUAUUUCUUUCUUUUUAACAAUUUAUUUAAGCAUAGUUUUUAGCGAAGAUUGGUAUGCUCAAAACUCUAGAGGGACAAGAUUGUUUGAAGGAGUUAUGCAAAGGUAGGCAAAGUAUCUUAAAGACGCGGUAAUGUUUCAAAAGCACCUUAGCUACACUGACUGGUGAAGAAGUUUACAAAAGUGGCAGCUAGAGCUUUGAGAACUUUUUACAAAAGUCAAUGUUUUCAACUUUAAACAGAAGAGGUACAAUUGCUGUGCUAAACAUCUUCUUGCUUUGAAUCUUCAUUAAAGUUAAAGAUAUCAAAUAUUUGCUUGUAAAUACUUUGACUUGAAGUGGGUACGUGAGUAAAAAUUUCAAAUUGUUUGAAUAAGAUAAUGUUAUAUAUCAUUAGAAAGAAGAUUGUUACAGUAUUUUAAAAGUGAAAAAAUUAUUAUAAUCGAACAAUUGGUUCAAAAGUUAUGACGGUUUAAGUACCGAUUUUUUCUAUAUAAGGAUUUGUUGAAGAAACUGUGGUCAAAAUUAUGUUUUCCUUUACUUAAAUAGUCAUAACUUUGUCAAUUCUUAUCAAAAACAAAUAUCUUGGUAUCAAAAGAUAGGUGUAAAGGUGGGCUACAACUUUAUGUUAAACUCUAACCACCAGACGUAUCGGAUGGACAGAGGGGGCACCAAACCACCACCUUGCUCAUGUGAAACUAAACACUUUUUUCAAAAAAGAAGUUUUUUUUAAGACAUAAGAAAUAUAAAUAAACAAAAUUUUUUUUUUAAAUUUAUACUAAACCAAAAUAUAUGAGAGGUGUUUGUUAGCAAUAGAGGUGGGUGUGGUGGUGAUGGUUUAAUACACCCUUGUAUCAAAAACGACUUGAUUUUAUAAAAAUUUAUAUUUUUACUAAAAUGAGUAAAAUUAGUAUACAAUAUAAAAUUAUGUUAUACAAGAUCUUACGUAUACAAGUGGUGUUUCUAUUACGGGAGGAACGUAUCUAUGCCUCCUCCCUAACCUAAAUAAUAAUAAAAAAAAAUGCAAUUACUGUUUUCAAAAUUUGAAUAAUAAAUUUAAAAAAAUAUUAUGAAAUUGGAAAUAAUUUAAAAAAUAAAUUUAUACCAGACAACCACCAAAUAGGAAAGAUGAUUGUAAAACUCAAAGUAGAUAUGUUGAUGAUGUUUUAGUACUAAAAUAUCAAAAAAAAAAUCAAUUCUUGAAAUAUCUGAUUGAAUAUUUAAAGUACAACAACAAAGAAUUAAAAAACAUACUCCACUAGAUUAAAAGAUACAUAAGUGAUACAUCCAUGGUCAUAAAAGAGUGGAGAAUAAGGGAGGGCCUAUCCGGAUAUAUCAUAAGGGAAAGGGGAAUUCUAAUGUCCCUUCCCCUUCUAACCAAAAAUUAUUAUUUAAUUGGAUGUAUAUUACUAAAAAAAUUAUACAACUAUUGUGAUGCUAUAAUUAUAAGUCAAUUGGCUGUAAAAAACAUGUCAUCUUUAUAACCAAGUAUAGCAAAUACCUAUAUUUAAGUCUUUUAUGUAAUUAUUACAUAAACAGAAGCAUGGCUCAUACAGUAUCGUUAACCAUUCUGUAUGGGCCAUACUUCUGUUAAUAGCCAUUUUGUUUGGUUAACAAAUAAAUUUACUGUUUCAAAAUAAAUUAUAAAACAUUAAAAUAAAAAAAAAAGUUUUUAAAAUUAUCUUAAAGAUAACUUAAUAUAUUUUUACCUUGGAUUUUAGUGAAUGAUUAAAAUGAUUAAUUUCAGUAGUGAAACUAUAUUUUAAUUAUUUUUAAAGACAGACACCACGUGAAAGCCAGAACCGUCUAUCAAAAAAUUUAACAAAUCACAAUACUUGCUAUAUAAUUUAGGCAAGUCACAACUCUAUUCUAAUGUCCCUUGCAAUACAUUUUUGGCAAGUUACAACACUUGUUGUAUUAUUUAUGCAAGUCAAAACAUUAGCUAUAUAACUUAAGCAAGUCAUAACAAGUUACAAAAUACCUUACCAGUUUGAACAGAUAGACAUAAAAAAAAAACUUCAAAAAACUUCAAAAAAAAAGUAAUAAACAAAAAAAAAAAUUUAGAAAUUAUUUUGCCAUAUAAAUUAUUUUGAAAUGUCAUAAUAUAUAAACCUUACCAAGUGCAACAGAUGAAAAGACAAUAUUAAAUAAUAAAACGACACAAAAGAUUAAAAAGUACAUAUAAAUAUUAAUUUGCAAGUUUUUUCUUACCCAUUAACCAGGUAAUUUUCAAAUUUACCGGGGUAAUAUUAAAAAUAUAAUUUAAAAAGCCCUCAAAAUGUUAGAGAUCAAUUUAUGGCAGAGUAUGGUAAAAUUAUCACCAUAAUUAAGCAAGACAUUGAAAAAUUCAAGAAGAAGGAGGUCGUUUUUCUACAAGCUUUGACAAAUCGACUUCAGUGAGAAACCGUUGUUUUAUGAAUUUGAACUUACAUGGUUUAGAUGGCUUUCAAUCUUUAGGAAUGAUCCGUGUCAACGGAAGCAUGAACACUGAAAAAAGCUAUUCAACUUUUUAAGUCAAGUUUGUCUGAAUUCUAAUUGGAUUUGGACAACAUUGUAGCAACAAUCACUGAACGUGCGAGUGUUAUGAUGAAAUUCAGGAAAAAGACCAGUCCCAUUCAUGUUGGCUGUCUUGCCCAUGUAGUCUAUCUUUCUGUUUGCAAUAUACUUUAGAAACCUUAUAAGAUAAACGAUGAUUUAAUUUAUGAUGAGUAUUUUUCAUUAUUAGGUUACAUGUAUUAUACAUAAAAGUUGAAUAGUUUCACUAACAUAUAUUAGUUAUAUAUGACCAUAUUUUAUUUAUAUAAUUUAUUAC